GCCCCAGAAAAGGGUUGUAAUUUAGGCUUCUCCCUGACACGCCAGUUUUCUAUGUGUGGGGGUUUAAUCUUGAGAGACCCAUUUGAAAUGGUGCAAUCCAAGAAGAGAAUGAUCACUUCAUCUGCUGCUUGAGAAGUAGACCUAGUAAUGUUCCCUAGUAAUUUGACUCUUCUUCCACUUGCUUGUCUGAAAAUGCCCUUGGGUAACUAUGAGCCUAGUUGACAGGGCAGGUGUUACAGCUCCUACCUAGAUAGAGAACAUGCAUCAGGUAGAUUUUAUGGCAUUGCCAAAAUUGUGACAAUGCUAACUUGCCCAACAAGGUUUUAUAUUAAAAUGUGUAUAUGACGGAUGGAAAAGGUGCCACCAGUUCUAUCAUGUUUAAUGUAGUAUUAACCCACAUUGUUUACAUGUUUAUUGUUGGACAGCUGUAAUCUCCCACUUCUCAGGGCAUCCUCAAUGUUUGCUUGCUCUCAUAGUCCCUUGGUUUGCAUGGCCUGGUUUGGUCAUGCUUUAUCCCUCCCAAAUUCUUCCAUUCUAACAGGUACUGCACAACUGAGUGAGCACAAUCUGUGAGUAGCAACUGCACUUGCUUGUAAAGAGGCUUCUUUUACAUUUUCUAUUAUACCGUACUUCUCAUGGUAGCUCAUCCAGGGCAUUUGCAUUAUUGUGCAUAAAGUAUAAACAAGAGCACAGUGACAGUCAACUUCUGAACCAGAGGAUGUGAGCAAGGAAACAGGAGCAGGGAAAAGAGAAAUAUAAUAAGCUCUACCCACAUACAAGGGCAAAUUAGUAGGAUUUCGAUCUGGUCAAUUUAUUUGUGUGUUGCUUCAUAAACUGAACUGGGAAAAUAAGUGCAUUUCCUAUUCUCUGCAGUAUUGAUAGCUGGGGAGAAGAGGGACCCAUCUCACUCAUAACCUCAGCACAGUAGAUUGCAGCUUACACCUCUUUACUGAAUAAAACAGAGCAGGAAAGCCUACCAGCCAACCUGAAGAUGGAGGUGAGAUCCCCUUUAGUAACCAUAGUGUUAGGUACACUCCAGUUCUUUGGACAGUGAGAAGUUCCAGGGGUGCAGCCACUCACCCAGGUUUGGUUCAUUUUGAAGGAAAUGAUGCAGGGGGCAUAUAUUAUGGCUUUGUAUACUUGUUUGCAUUUAUUUACAAAUAUUUAAAUUGAGCGUUGUUGUUGUUGUUUAGUUGUUUAGUCGUGUCUGAAUCUUCGUGACACCAUGGAUUGCAGCACGCCAGGCACUCCUGUCUUCCACUGCCUCCCGCAGUUUGGUCAAACUCAUGUUGGUAACUUCGAGAACUAAACUGAGCAUAGGUGGAGGCUAAGCCAGCCAAAAUCUACUUCUCCCACAUCAUAUCUCUUAAGAGACAGCCAGGAAUCCAAAAUGAUUUCCAGAGACCUCUGACUCUGUCUGACUCCAAACACAAAUUGCAGUCUCCUUUAGUUUUUGUUCACAGGUAAAGGUAAAAGUACCCCUUGACCGUUAGGUCCAGUCACGGACAACUCUGGGGUUGUGCGCUCAUUUCGCUCUAUAUGCUGAGGGAGCCGGCAUUUUCUGCAGACAGCUUCUGGAUCAUGUGGCCAGCAUGACUAAGCCACUUCUGGCGAACCAGAGCAGCACACGGAAACACCGUUUACCUUCCCGCCAGAGCGGUACCUAUCUAUCUACUUGCAUUUGACGUGCUUUCAAACUGCUAGGUGGACAGGAGUUGGGACCGAACAAUGGGAGCUCGGCAAGCCCUAGGCUCUGUGGUUUAGACCACAGCGCCACCCGCAUCCCUUUGUUCACAGAAACAUCCUCAUAUGGGGAGGGGUAGAGAUAUCACCCCUCUUUCAGGUAUGCUAGAGCCAUUAUUCCAUUAGGCAGAAGGAGGCACAUGCCUCAGGCAGCAGGUGUUGGUGGGCAAAGAAUGGUAGCAAGGUGUUUGAAGACAUACUGUGGCUGUGUAUGCAUUCAACUUGUCUCACACCUCCCUGCUGCCUUCAGGUGCUGUGGAAAAUGUAUCCCAUCACUGAUGAACGAAGACUUGUCUGGCUUCUGAAUGUGAGGAAACGCACAAACGCAGCAAAAUAGGCCAGCUGUUGAGAUAAAUUAGCCACUCUAUUCAGUUUUGAUAGCAGCACAUCACCUGCCACCUAACCAAGGAGAUACUUGCCAGAACUACUAAGGUAAUCUUCAGCAGUUAUUCCGGUUCCUCUCCUGGCCAGACUCCAGAAUCAUAGAAUGAAAGAGUCCCUGAAGGUAGCUCAGUCUAAAUUAAAUUCUUUACUGGGAAUGCUUUAAUUUGAUUUCCCCAGUAAGAUAAGUAAAUGAAUACCAUAUUGAGUUUCGUCAAAUUGUAUUACUUGGAAAUAAACUUUCUUGCUUUGUUUGAAGACUGCCAGUGAUAAAGUGUCCACCAUUAAAUUAGCAGUGUUCACCAAUGGUUAAAAAACAUGCUCUUUCUUCCCUAUUGGAAUUUGGAAGCUAGUCAUUGGUUAUUGCCACUCCUUUCCCUCUUGAUUAGAGAGCACUUUUUAGUACCCAGUAUUUUUCCACUGAAGGUAUAUGUCGCUAAUCAAGUGACUUCUGAACCUUUUCUCUGUUUUUGAUAAACUAAAUGGAUUUGAGUUCCUUAAAUCUUUUGCUUUACAUGACCCAAGGCAAGGACUUGAAUAAUUUUGGCUACUGUAGAAAUGUCUGUUAGCAUUCUUGCUUUGUUAUCACAGGUGGUGCAAGGUGGUUUCCAAACAGCUCCUGGAUGUUUGUCCCAAUAUCUUAACAGUGGUUAAUGGAAAGUGUUGCCAGCUAAAUGCUAACUACAGCAGGUCAUUUGAGCCACAUGGAAACACUAUAUUCGGCAUCCUGUUACUGGUAUGAAUAUCUAGGGGGUUAACUCUUCCAAUGCUAAAUACAUACUGUAUCCAGCACCAUGCAAAAGGCAGGAAACCCAGAACCAGCUCCAUACACACUUUGAAAAGUUGGCUAUGUGGACUGCAUAGCCCAUGCUAGUCAAUAUCAGGUUGGUAGACUGAUAGCAGAUGACCAGGAUGGGCUGCAACAUUCUGCUGCACAUACUUUGUGAACUAGCUGUACUGGCAGAGCAGAUCCUGCCCCCCAAGCCACUUCCCUUGGCUCACUUCCAUUUCUGGGGGAAAUGGAACUGCAGGAAGGUAAGCUGUGGGAGGGGGUGGGUUCUGCUCCCCCCACUCAUGUGCUCCCCUUUUCUUUGAAGAAAAACGAGCUCCACCCUCUCCACUUUGUAUGUGCUCACUGACAUGGGUUUAAAUAAAUGGGUCUGUCAUAAUCAUAUGCAAUUUGAAUCAAUCUCCUAAAUCAGCUCCCUAGAUAUUCUCUAUAUGGAGAACGUGUUUGCAUGAACUGUGUUCUGCCAUGAAACAAUUAUUUGCUUUCUUACCAUGCUCAGAUGCCUAGGAUGCCUAUGACCUUCUCUAGCACAAACCUGCCCAUGUAUGGAGAUCAUCAGUGGCCGUGCUCAAAUUCAUAGGUUAAGUGGGUGACUCACAGCGACAGACCUUUUUUUGAUGCGGCAUUCAGUAGUCGCACCUGCCCUGUGGAAUGCCCUCCUGGCAGAUGUCAAAGAGCUAAACAACUAUAUAAUUUUUCGUAGUCAUGGAUUAUCAUAAUGCAUUUUCCUACCUCACCUGUCUCUUAGCACUGGCAUAGCUCUAGAGGAAGUAUUAAGAAGCAGCUGGGCAGGUUAAUAAGCAUUUUGUUAUUUGUCUUUUACAGCUGAAAUACCAAAUGGUGGAAGAAGCCAUUCACAUUAGUAUUUUUAUCUUAUAAAGCUAGUAGAUAUAUGUGUAAAAGCCUCUUAGGGGAAGUCUUAUUUCAAUAGCUAGUGAUUUU